UUAGUAGCUUCAGCAGAAAUAACGUAAAUAAUUCUCUAAUCAUAAGAACCAUAAAUAAAAUAGCAUGCAAUAAUAUCAGACAAUAACUACCAUAAAUAACUACUAUAAGGGAGACAUAAUCCAAUACACAAAUCGUCUAAGGAUAGCCCUGCCAAGCCUCACCCAACCCCGGGUGAGGAGUACGAAAAACACUAGGGGCCCCUAUCCUACAACCCUGAUACUAGACCUCCA
rnacentral:lncRNA from 1 species